GGGCGUGCGGCGUGCUAAUACAUGCAAGUCGAGCGAAUGGAUUAAGAGCUUGCUCUUAUGAAGUUAGCGGCGGACGGGUGAGUAACACGUGGGUAACCUGCCCAUAAGACUGGGAUAACUCCGGGAAACCGGGGCUAAUACCGGAUAACAUUUUGAACCGCAUGGUUCGAAAUUGAAAGGCGGCUUCGGCUGUCACUUAUGGAUGGACCCGCGUCGCAUUAGCUAGUUGGUGAGGUAACGGCUCACCAAGGCAACGAUGCGUAGCCGACCUGAGAGGGUGAUCGGCCACACUGGGACUGAGACACGGCCCAGACUCCUACGGGAGGCAGCAGUAGGGAAUCUUCCGCAAUGGACGAAAGUCUGACGGAGCAACGCCGCGUGAGUGAUGAAGGCUUUCGGGUCGUAAAACUCUGUUGUUAGGGAAGAACAAGUGCUAGUUGAAUAAGCUGGCACCUUGACGGUACCUAACCAGAAAGCCACGGCUAACUACGUGCCAGCAGCCGCGGUAAUACGUAGGUGGCAAGCGUUAUCCGGAAUUAUUGGGCGUAAAGCGCGCGCAGGUGGUUUCUUAAGUCUGAUGUGAAAGCCCACGGCUCAACCGUGGAGGGUCAUUGGAAACUGGGAGACUUGAGUGCAGAAGAGGAAAGUGGAAUUCCAUGUGUAGCGGUGAAAUGCGUAGAGAUAUGGAGGAACACCAGUGGCGAAGGCGACUUUCUGGUCUGUAACUGACACUGAGGCGCGAAAGCGUGGGGAGCAAACAGGAUUAGAA
rnacentral:rRNA from 1 species